AACUGCCUGAUGGAGGGGGAUAACUACUGGAAACGGUAGCUAAUACCGCAUAACGUCGCAAGACCAAAGAGGGGGACCUUCGGGCCUCUUGCCAUCAGAUGUGCCCAGAUGGGAUUAGCUAGUAGGUGGGGUAACGGCUCACCUAGGCGACGAUCCCUAGCUGGUCUGAGAGGAUGACCAGCCACACUGGAACUGAGACACGGUCCAGACUCCUACGGGAGGCAGCAGUGGGGAAUAUUGCACAAUGGGCGCAAGCCUGAUGCAGCCAUGCCGCGUGUAUGAAGAAGGCCUUCGGGUUGUAAAGUACUUUCAGCGGGGAGGAAGGCGAUAAGGUUAAUAACCUUGUCGAUUGACGUUACCCGCAGAAGAAGCACCGGCUAACUCCGUGCCAGCAGCCGCGGUAAUACGGAGGGUGCAAGCGUUAAUCGGAAUUACUGGGCGUAAAGCGCACGCAGGCGGUCUGUCAAGUCGGAUGUGAAAUCCCCGGGCUCAACCUGGGAACUGCAUUCGAAACUGGCAGGCUGGAGUCUUGUAGAGGGGGGUAGAAUUCCAGGUGUAGCGGUGAAAUGCGUAGAGAUCUGGAGGAAUACCGGUGGCGAAGGCGGCCCCCUGGACAAAGACUGACGCUCAGGUGCGAAAGCGUGGGGAGC
rnacentral:rRNA from 1 species